UUGUUUCUCCUUAAUCUCUGGACCAAGAGACGAUCGAACCACUUCUCAUACCACCAUACCACCAUCCUUAGAAUCUAAGAGGCAACCUCAAAGAUUAGCCAAGCAGUGAAUAUCCUUCACUAAUUCCCGCUUCUCUUCCUCUACGUGAGCCAAACUCCCCAUAGAUAACCUUCUAAGAGCAUCAGUAACCACAUUAGUAUUACCUAGG
rnacentral:lncRNA from 1 species